rnacentral:rRNA from 1 species
GACGAAUGCUGGCGGCGUGCCUAAUACAUGCAAGUCGAGCGGACGAAUCGAAAGCUUGCUUUUGAUUCGUUAGCGGCGGACGGGUGAGUAACACGUGGGCAACCUGCCCUGUAGACGGGGAUAACACCGAGAAAUCGGUGCUAAUACCGGAUAACACGAAAUGUCGCAUGACGUUUCGUUGAAAGACGGCGCAAGCUGUCGCUACAGGAUGGGCCCGCGGCGCAUUAGCUAGUUGGUGAGGUAACGGCUCACCAAGGCGACGAUGCGUAGCCGACCUGAGAGGGUGAUCGGCCACACUGGGACUGAGACACGGCCCAGACUCCUACGGGAGGCAGCAGUAGGGAAUCUUCCGCAAAGGACGAAAGUCUGACGGAGCAACGCCGCGUGAGCGAAGAAGGCCUUCGGGUCGUAAAGCUCUGUUGUUAGGGAAGAACAAGUAACGCAGUAACUGGCGUUACCGUGACGGUACCUAACGAGAAAGCCACGGCUAACUACGUG